ACUUUGUUACCAGGCUGGAGGGCAGUGGCGUGAUCUUAGCUCACUACAGCCUUGACCUUCUGGACUCAAGUGAUCCUCCCACCUCUGCCUCCCAAGUAGCUGGAACUACAGGCACAUGCCACUGUGCCCAGCAGAUAUUUACCAAUGGCCUAUUAUGAACCGUACCCUAAAAGCUUCACAAAGGAAAAGUGAAUGGGCAGAGAGGAAUUUGAUGUUUCUAAAAGACGUGUGUGACCUGAUGUGGAAUUAAUAUACCAAUAUGUGAAAUUUCCAGGAAGUAAGAGAAUGCUUGAAGGAGUUAUUGUGAUGAUCACACCUGGAAUUAAGGCACCAUGGAGGAGCUAACUGGAAUGAGACUGCAGAACUACAAUGGGCACAAUACAGUAUAUAUUGUAAUGAAGGAGGAAGCACACAUUUAUUUUUGCACUACUUGAAUGUCACUGUUGUAAAGGAUGACCCUCUUUAUUCACAAGGAGACAACACUGGCUUUAGGAUAUCUCUUACGGCCAGAGGCUGGGCAAAUGUCCUACUAUCAGGUCAG